rnacentral:rRNA from 1 species
UACGGGGGGGGCAAGCGUUGUUCGGAAUUACUGGGCGUAAAGGGCGCGUAGGCGGCCUGUUAAGUCGAACGUGAAAUCCCCGGGCUCAACCCGGGAACUGCGUCCGAUACUGGCAGGCUUGAAUCCGGGAGAGGGAUGUGGAAUUCCAGGUGUAGCGGUGAAAUGCGUAGAUAUCUGGAGGAACACCGGUGGCGAAGGCGGAUCCGUGCUGGGCCGA